AUGCAAGUCGAACGCAGUAGCAAUACCGAGUGGCAGACGGGUGAGUAACAUGUGGGAAUCUGCCUUGUAGUUCAGGACAACAUUGGGAAACCGAUGCUAAUACUGGAUAAGCCCUUACGGGGAAAGUUUUAAUGCCAUAAGAUGAGCCCGCAUUUGAUUAGUUAGUUGGUGAGGUAAUGGCUCACCAAGACAAUGAUCAAUAGCUGAUCUGAGAGGAUGAUCAGCCACACUGGGACUGAGACACGGCCCAGACUCCUACGGGAGGCAGCAGUGGGGAAUCUUGCACAAUGGAGGAAACUCUGAUGCAGCGAUGCCGCGUGAGUGAAGAAGGCCUUUGGGUUGUAAAGCUCUUUUGUAGGGGAAGAUAAUGACUGUACCCUAAGAAUAAGGUCCGGCUAACUUCGUGCCAGCAGCCGCGGUAAUACGAAGGGACCUAGCGUAGUUCGGAAUUACUGGGCGUAAAGCGCGCGUAGGCCGUUGAGUUAGUUAAUUGUGAAAUCCCAAAGCUUAACUUUGGAACUGCAAUUAAAACUGCUCGACUAGAGUUUGAUAGAGGAAAGCGGAAUACAUAGUGUAGAGGUGAAAUUCGUAGAUAUUAUGUAGAACACCAGUUGCGAAGGCGGCUUUCUGGAUCAACACUGACGCUGAGGCGCGAAAGUAUGGGUAGCAAAGAGGAUUAGAUACCCUCGUAGUCCAUACCAUAAACGAUGAUUGCUAGAUGUUGGAAAUUUAUUUUCAGUAUCGCAGCUAACGCAUUAAGCAAUCCGCCUGGGGAGUACGACCGCAAGGUUAAAACUCAAAUGAAUUGACGGGGACCCGCACAAGCGGUGGAGCAUGUGGUUUAAUUCGAAGAUACGCGCAGAACCCUUACCACCCUUGACAUGUCUGUCGCGAGUUUAGGAA
rnacentral:rRNA from 1 species